rnacentral:lncRNA from 10 species
GUUCUGUUCUCCUUGGCAGGUAGAUCCCCAAGGUGGGGUAGCUCAAUGCAAUUAGCUGGUAAGAUCACCGGACUCACUCUUCCAGGGAUGACUCCGUGCACAUUAGGAAACCUGACAUUGGUUUGCCUUCCAAUGUCUCUCUUUGCUGUGGGGGCAAUGCCCUGGGCACACAUAUUAUCAGGACAAUCUGCAAUGGACUGGAUGUUUGUUUCCCCCUUAAAUUCAUAUGUUGAAGCUUAAUGGCAAUGUGGUGGUAUUUGGAGGUGGGGUCUUUGGGAGGUAAUGAGGUCAUGACGGUAGGACCCUUGUGAAUGGGAUUAGCGCCUGUAAGAGGGGGCCAGAGAGCUUGUGCACUUCUUUUCUGUCAUGUGAGGAUGCAAUGAGAAGACAGCUGUCUGUGACCUGGAAGAGGGCCCUCACCAGAACCCGACCAUGCCAGCACUGGCACCCUGAUCUUGGGCUUCCAGCCUCCAGACCUGUGAGAAAUAAAUGCCUGUUGUUGAUUAGCCACCCAGCUUGUGCUAUUUUGUUACAGCAGCUUGCACUGAUUUCACGACCCUCUCAGCUAAGGAAGCCCUUCCUGCAUCCAUGUCUCUCUAUGCCUGUCUGUGAAGUCCCAGCUCACAGCUGACCUGGUUAGGUAAGCACUGUUAUUUUGUUUCAACGGAGGGAACCUUUGGAUUACAUGUACAUAGCUAGUCAGUGGCAGCAUUUGGUUCAUCACGCUGGUUUUAAAAACUCCAUUGCCUUUUCUCUUCAUUAGUCCUAUCAUCUUAUGAAGAAAGUCAACUCAGUACAAAUAUCCGUCAAACAAUGGCUUAGGGAUAUGCGUACAGAACAAUCAAAUCAGCUGACAGAAUAUCUGGCUUUUCACCCAGUUAUAAAAUGUUGUGCUUUGCUUAACAUGGUGAAGAACAAAAGCUGCUAACAGCUGAUUUCUUUCUCCCAAAAUGUGAGCCCUGCUAUGGGAGAGCGCAACCAGCAGGGGGCGCUGGCGUCUUUCCCUGAACUUCAGGGCACGCUUGAGAGAUGGUACCUGGUGGGUGGGCAGUGGCCUCAAGUUACCAAACGAAGGGGUGGGCGCAAGGUGUGCUGAUUGGACUCCAUUGGCUGCGCUGGGUUCCCGUAGCGUAUGUGAGAGAUACCUGUCACCACUUCCCGGCUAAGACCCAGCCAGUUUCAGCAAGGACGUUCCCUCCACUGGAC